rnacentral:rRNA from 1 species
GAUGAACGCUGGCGGCGUGCUUAACACAUGCAAGUCGAACGGAAAGGCUCCUGCUUGCAGGGGUACUCGAGUGGCGAACGGGUGAGUAACACGUGGGUGAUCUGCCCUGCACUUCGGGAUAAGCCUGGGAAACUGGGUCUAAUACCGGAUAGGACGAUGGUUUGGAUGCCAUUGUGGAAAGUUUUUUCGGUGUGGGAUGGGCUCGCGGCCUAUCAGCUUGUUGGUGGGGUAAUGGCCUACCAAGGCGUCGACGGGUAGCCGGCCUGAGAGGGUGUACGGCCACAUUGGGACUGAGAUACGGCCCAGACUCCUACGGGAGGCAGCAGUGGGGAAUAUUGCACAAUGGGCGCAAGCCUGAUGCAGCGACGCCGCGUGGGGGAUGACGGCCUUCGGGUUGUAAACUCCUUUCGCUAGGGACGAAGCGCAAGUGACGGUACCUGGAGAAGAAGCACCGGCUAACUACGUG